rnacentral:rRNA from 1 species
UACGGAGGGUGCAAGCGUUAAUCGGAAUUACUGGGCGUAAAGCGUGCGUAGACGGUCAUGUAAGUCGGGUGUGAAAGCCCCGGGCUCAACCUGGGAAUUGCAUUCGAGACUGCAUGGCUAGGAUGCGGAAGAGGGAAGCGGAAUUUCCGGUGUAGCGGUGAAAUGCGUAGAUAUCGGAAGGAACACCAGUGGCGAAAGCGGCUUCCUGGUCCAGCAUCGACGUUCAGGCACGAAAGCGUGGGGAGCAAACAGG